rnacentral:rRNA from 1 species
GACGGAGGAUGCAAGUGUUAUCCCGAAUCACUGGGCGUAAAGCGUCUGUAGGUGGUUUAAUAAGUCAACUGUUAAAUCUUGAGGCUCAACCUCAAAAUCGCAGUCGAAACUAUUAGGCUAGAGUAUAGUAGGGGUAAAGGGAAUUUCCAGUGGAGCGGUGAAAUGCGUAGAGAUUGGAAAGAACACCGAUGGCGAAGGCACUUUACUGGGCUAUUACUAACACUCAGAGACGAAAGCUAGGGUAGCAAAUGGG